AAACUUUCAAUGCUGCAUCAGGUAGUUUGUGUACCUACACUCAAACGGCAAGAUUACUCUGUUCUUCGCAAGUCCUUUGCUCUGCAGAAAAGGUGAGGAUCAAUCUAAUUAUUCAGCGGAAAAGGAUUCCCGUCAAUCAUCCUCUGCAACAAGCAGGUUACUCUCUCUUCUUUCAUAGAUAAAUCAUAGAUGUCUUCAUAUUAUUUUGUGAAUGACCUCCUUUUAUAUUUUAAUCACUAUCAAAUGGAAUAUGCCCUAAACGGUAGGCAAUGUUCCAAUAAGGCAUUAGGGAUGCAUCCGAUAUGCCUCAUGUGGUGGAAAUGCUUCCAUUCAUCAGUUUUCAAAUACAUGGUCAAGUUAAUUUGCUUAUUAUUUAAAAUUUCAAUUUAUUAUGUAUUAAAAAGCCAAAAAGGAGCAGGAAGAGCUCAGGUCAUACCAAAAAGCCAAAACAAUGAUAUGGUUACUUUGGUCCAACAGAGGAUACCUCAGUCAGAGAAUUCUCUUUUGCCUCUCUGAUUUUGUAGGCUGCUUUUGGGUUACUGUUGAAAAUUGCCUCAUACGUUUAAAAUUGAAAGUAGUAACAUUUGUUGCUGUUUUAUUUUCCUUUUCAGUUGUUGCCGUCUGAUUACCAGCAGAGACACAAAUACCACAUGAGGACAGGCAAUUCAUAAAAGGGAGUAAAGGUCUGGAGUGUUAAUGGUUUUACCUAAGCUUCUAUACAAUUUAAAUAUUUUGUUGUCCAUUACUCUUAUGUGUUAUGUAGCUGUUGCCACUGAGUUCUCAUGUUUUUUCCAUGCUUGCCUUCUUCACUUCUGCAAAUGGAAGGGCUACAUAUGUUCAACGAAUCACAAUGCUGUAUUAUCUUCUGAAAGCAGGUCACAGGUUAAUGGAAACGUUCCAUUCAUCGGCUUUCAUGUGGUGGCAUGUGUAUGCUGUGCUUUGUGUGUGCCACAAUAGAUUGUUGUUGCUGCUCCACCUCAUCACAUUGAAGUCUGCAUUAGCAUUCCCGCCUCAAUGAAUCAUCGUAUGCCAUCUUGUUUGCUCCAAUCUAUCCAAGUGAUUCACUAUGGCUUGAUGACCUUUUAAGUGCAAUGGUUGAUUUGUGAGGUGCAUUAUGUACCUGAAAUUUUAUAUGAUAUCUUCUGUGGUGGAGAAUGGGUUCCUUGAUCAGUUCUUGAUUUUGCGGAUUAUGUCUUCAUAUGGUAUAUACUACUUGUAGUUUCAUUGCUAAGAUCACUUUGAAAGAAUAGUGUCUUAGGCAAUACUCUGAUCCGAAUUUUUUUUUAAAUGGCAGAGCUCGCAGGACCCCAAUGGGCAUGGAAUUCUACAUUGUUGUGCUUUUUGUGGAAUCACCAUUGCCUGAACAUUUUUGCAGUCCAGUCAAACAUUAUACAGGCGGACAAAGCAUGCCAAUCUUUUGCACUAGCAUCUUUUCAUCAAACCUUUGUUGAUCAAGGGGUAAAUGUAUAUCAAGUGUUGUACAAUGGUCCCGCCGUAUCAAUUUAGUAAAAGAACCUAUCAAACAUUUUGAAGGUAGUUUCUGAAGAAUAACAUAUGUAUUAGAU